rnacentral:rRNA from 1 species
GCUAUACAUGCAGUCGAGCGAGCAAUUUUGACGGAAUACUUCGGUAGGAAGUCAGAAGCGCGAGCGGCGGAUGGGUGAGUAACACGUGGGCAACCUGCCCUUUAGCUUGGGAUACCACUUGGAAACAGGUGCUAAUACCAAAUAAGCAGCACGAGCGCAUGCUCAAGCUGAGAAAGGCGGCUUUCGAGCUGUCACUAAAGGAUGGGCCCGCGGUGCAUUAGCUAGUUGGUAAGGUAACGGCUUACCAAGGCGAUGAUGCAUAGCCGAGUUGAGAGACUGACCGGCCACAUUGGGACUGAGACACGGCCCAAACUCCUACGGGAGGCAGCAGUAGGGAAUCUUCCACAAUGGACGCAAGUCUGAUGGAGCAACGCCGCGUGAGUGAAGAAGGUUUUCGGAUCGUAAAGCUCUGUUGUUGGUGAAGAAGGACAAGGGUAGUAACUGAUUCUUGUUUGACGGUAAUCAACCAGAAAGUCACGGCUAACUACGUGCCAGCAGCCGCGGUAAUACGUAGGUGGCAAGCGUUGUCCGGAUUUAUUGGGCGUAAAGCGAACGCAGGCGGGAGAAUAAGUCAGCUGUGAAAGCCCCCAGCUUAACUGGGGAACUGCAACUGAAACUAUUUUUCUUGAGUGCAGAAGAGGAGAGUGGAACUCCAUGUGUAGCGGUGGAAUGCGUAGAUAUAUGGAAGAACACCAGUGGCGAAGGCGGCUCUCUGGUCUGUAACUGACGCUGAGGUUCGAAAGCAUGGGUAGCGAACAGGAUUAGAUACCCUGGUAGUCCAUGCCGUAAACGAUGAGUGCUAAGUGUUGGGAGGUUUCCGCCUCUCAGUGCUGCAGCUAACGCAUUAAGCACUCCGCCUGGGGAGUACGACCGCAAGGUUAAAACUCAAAGGAAUUGACGGGGGCCCGCACAAGCGGUGGAGCAUGUGGUUUAAUUCGAAGCAACGCGAAGAACCUUACCAGGUCUUGACAUCUAGUGCCAGUCCUAGAGAUAGGAUGUUUCCUUC